rnacentral:tRNA from 1 species
GCCCCCGUAGCUCAGUUGGAUAGAGCAGUUCCCUCCUAAGGAAAAGGUCAGCGGUUCAAUUCCGUUCGGGGGCG